GCGCCCCCGGGCUCCGGGUUCCCUACCCGCUGCACAGGGUAUGCACCUAAGCCACCCGGCGCCGCACACCCAGGCCCGCGACCUCAAAAGGUGCUCAGGUUGAGAGGAAAGCAGCCCACCCCGAUGGCAGUGUUUUCUGAACAGAUGGAUACAGUCAAACCUGAAGCUGCACCUUGGUUUCUCAUCCACAAGAACCAAGCCAUUCCCCUUUCUGUUCAUUGGGUGGAUUUUCUGUCACUUGUAACCAAGAAGAUCCUAAAUUAACACAAGCUCAUCUCUUCCUCCUUUUCAUCGGCACCAUUGUGAAUAUAAACAAUGUCGAAGAAGAAAUAUGGACACUGGAACAUUUUCUGCAGGGGAAGAAAGAACA